rnacentral:rRNA from 1 species
GAUGAACGCUGGCGGCGUGCCUAAUACAUGCAAGUCGAGCGAACGGACGAGAAGCUUGCUUCUCUGAUGUUAGCGGCGGACGGGUGAGUAACACGUGGAUAACCUACCUAUAAGACUGGGAUAACUUCGGGAAACCGUAGCUAAUACCGGAUAAUAUUUUGAACCGCAUGGUUCAAAAGUGAAAGACGGUCUUGCUGUCACUUAUAGAUGGAUCCGCGCUGCAUUAGCUAGUUGGUAAGGUAACGGCUUACCAAGGCAACGAUGCGUAGCCGACCUGAGAGGGUGAUCGGCCACACUGGAACUGGGACACGGUCCAGACUCCUACGGGAGGCAGCAGUAGGGAAUCUUCCGCAAUGGGCGAAAGCCUGACGGAGCAACGCCGAGUGAGUGAUGAAGGUCUUCGGAGCGUAAAACUCUGCUAUUAGGGAAGAACAUAUGUGUAAGUAACUGUGCACAUCUUGACGGUAACUAAUCAGAAAGCAACGGCUAACUACGUG